ACGCUAGCAUGACACUCAGGGAUAAGGAUAACAUAAUACCAUGAUCAACAGUUUAACAUUAUUCAAAAUCCAGUGCACAUAUAUAUAUUUGCACGUGUGUAUGAAGACAAUAAUAAGUAUAUAUAAAAGAAUAAUUUUUUAUCAUUAAUAUCGAACAAUAUACUUGAUCCGCCAUUAAAAAUCCUGCUCUUAUGAAUCGGAUCCAUUUAAAGUCAUGUAAGGCUAAUUUCUUGAUAAAGAAAAGCUUACCUUUCAAAAGAUCUCCUAUUUCUCUCUUUUCAUACUGCUCAUGUCAAGGCACGUAAAAUUACAUUCUAUUUCAUGCAUCUUCUCAUUCAAGACAAAUAAUUAUAAAUUAUAAAAUAAAAAUAUGGAUAAAAAAUUGAAAAAAAUAUGACAUUGAAAUAUCAAUUAUUUAAUAUUAUACUUUGAAAGAAAAAUAUACUUUAGAGUCUUAAUGACGAUACUAAAACAUAAAAUGAGCAAUUCAAACUAUCCCUGAUGGAGGAAUGAAAUCGAUUCUAAAUUUGAUUUACUAACGCAUUACAUCUCUAAUUACCAUUAUAUUUUAUCUUCUAGCCAACUAAUGACUUUGUUUAAUACUUGUUUGACACUAUGAUUUGUUUUCUAUUAUGAGAAAUCAUAAUUUUCACUUUAAUUUAAUCUCAAUAGUUUUUUAAAUGUAAGUAUGAUUUUGACAAAAGAGUGUUAACAUGAAUUACACCUUAAUAAGAAGUAGAACUAAUAUGAAUAAAAAAUAAAAUUUAGAACAGAAAAAACAUACCUUAAAUUCACUUGUAAUCAAUACGAAGUUUUGUUAAACAAACUUAUUUUGAAGGUAAAUUUAAACAAAUAAAAAAAAAAGACAUCAAAUAUAGAAGCUUGAAACCCCAGACGAACUUAUUUGCUAUCAAAAGAAAAUGUUGAAAAAGGUCAAAAAGAAUUUCAUGUGAUUCUUUACAUAUAUUAUUUUAGGACUGUUAAUUUAUUUN
rnacentral:lncRNA from 1 species